GGACGAGGAGAGGCGAGCGUCUGCCCAGGAGCUUCUGCAGCAUCCAUUUCUACAAUCAGCCGAGCCCCUCUCCAGACUGGUUCCUGUGAUUGUUGCAGCAAAGCAGUCCAGGGACUACAGGAGAUAACCACACCAUUUCAGGACGGCUUUCUCUGAGUGGGACUCGGAAUAAAAACUCUAUGGAAAGUCCCACUUCUGCGGUCUUUGCUAUGGUUUUGAAGUGGGAAGAGGCUCCUUCCUUGAUCAACUCCACACUGAACUGAACUGAAGGAAGGGA